rnacentral:rRNA from 1 species
AUUGAACGCUGGCGGCAGGCCUAACACAUGCAAGUCGAACGAGUGGCGGACGGGUGAGUACUGUCUGGGAAACUGCCUGAUGGCGGGGGAUAACUACUGGAAACGGUAGCUAAUACCGCAUACCAUCAGAUGUGCCCCCAUGGGAGUAGCUCGUAGGUGGGGUAACGGGUCACCUAGGCGACGCUCCCUAGCUGGUCUGAGAGGAUGACCAGCCACGCUGGAACUGAGACACGGUCCAGACUCCGACGGGAGGCAGCAGUGGGGAAUAUUGCACAAUGGGCGCAAGCCUGAUGCAGCCAUGCCGCGUGUAUGAAGAAGGCCUUCGGGUUGUAAAGUACUGUCAGCGGGGAGGCGUUACCCGCAGAAGAAGCACCGGCUAACUCCGUGCCAGCAGCCGCGGUAAUAC